AACCAAGUUGUGAACGCAGGUGGACACGCCGUACAAACUGACUCACUAAGUUCUAACUUUAAAUCUGCACCUGUGACAAAGACUGGCUACGUGACGCCAACUUGCAUGCACUAUUCAGUCUGUACACUUGUCCGAAUAUGUCUUAAGUUGCUUUAAGUGCGUUCUAAGUAAACCUGGAAGUGAGGUUUUGAAUAGAAACAUCCUGUUCUAGGAAAGCCUACUGGCAUGUAAAUAUUAAUAAAUAAAAAAUUCGUCGAUAAUUCCCAGUAAAAGGUCAAUUUCACCCAAUCACGUUGUACCGAGCGCAGUGGAUUACAUGCCGUGUCGCUAUACGCUCCACUAACGCAACACCGGGGCUGCCAUUCUAUGCCUGACGGAAAUUCGUCUAAAUGAUUUAAAUGUUCACUACAUAAAACAUCCAUUGAUUGGCACAUCUUUCAGCAUCCCGCCUAGUCAAUGGGGAGAAACUCUCACGAACUGCAACGUUAUUUUCCCCAAUGGUGUUAUGUAUUCAGUGUUCC